rnacentral:rRNA from 1 species
UACGUAGGGUGCAAGCGUUGUCCGGAAUUAUUGGGCGUAAAGAGCUCGUAGGCGGUUUGUCGCGUCUGCUGUGAAAACUCGGGGCUUAACUCCGGGCCUGCAGUGGGUACGGGCAGACUAGAGUGCGGUAGGGGAGACUGGAAUUCCUGGUGUAGCGGUGAAAUGCGCAGAUAUCAGGAGGAACACCUAUGGCGAAGGCAGCUUGCUGGGACGGCACUGACGCUGAGACGCGAAAGCGUGGGGAGCAAACAGG